rnacentral:tRNA from 1 species
UGGAAAGUGGCUCAGUGGUAGAGCACUUGCCUUGCAUGCAUGAGGCCCUGGGUUCAAUUCCUCAGCACCAU